GGCUCACCCCAAGCUUGGGAAGACUAUCCGAAACCACAUGGCCAAGGGUUGGAGGCUCUGCCAAUCGAAGGCCAAGGUUCAAACCAAGGCAGAGGCCAAGGCUCCAGUUAAGGCCCAGACUCUAGUUCCAUCCCAGGCUCCCAAAGGUGCCCAGACCCCUGUGAAGGCCCCAUAGAAAAGGGUCCUGCCAAUGUGAAGACAGACGGACUGCUGUGACGCACCCACCUACACACUAUUUGCAGAUGACCAGUGUCCUAUGCUGUUUUUACAAACAAACAUGAGACAAGAAACCAAAAGAAAGCAAUUGAAUUCUCUACAUCAGACACAGAUUUUAAGGUUUAGGUUCAUUUUUGAGUAAAGCUAAAUCAAAGGAUA
rnacentral:lncRNA from 1 species